AGUGAACGCUGGCGGUAGGCCUAACACAUGCAAGUCGAACGGCAGCACAGUAAGAGCUUGCUCUUACGGGUGGCGAGUGGCGGACGGGUGAGGAAUACAUCGGAAUCUACUUUUUCGUGGGGGAUAACGUAGGGAAACUUACGCUAAUACCGCAUACGACCUACGGGUGAAAGCAGGGGAUCUUCGGAACUUGCGCGAUUGAAUGAGCCGAUGUCGGAUUAGCUAGUUGGCGGGGUAAAGGCCCACCAAGGCGACGAUCCGUAGCUGGUCUGAGAGGAUGAUCAGCCACACUGGAACUGAGACACGGUCCAGACUCCUACGGGAGGCAGCAGUGGGGAAUAUUGGACAGUGGGCGCAAGCCUGAUCCAGCCAUACCGCGUGGGUGAAGAAGGCCUUCGGGUUGUAAAGCCCUUUUGUUGGGAAAGAAAAGCAGCAGGUUAAUACCCCGCUGUUCUGACGGUACCCAAAGAAUAAGCACCGGCUAACUUCGUG
rnacentral:rRNA from 1 species